rnacentral:rRNA from 1 species
UACGUAGGGGGCAAGCGUUGUCCGGAUUUAUUGGGCGUAAAGAGCGUGUAGGCGGCCAUGUAGGUCCGUUGUGAAAACUCGAGGCUCAACCUCGAGACGCCGAUGGAAACCAUGUGGCUAGAGUCCGGAAGAGGAGAGUGGAAUUCCUGGUGUAGCGGUGAAAUGCGUAGAUAUCGGGAGGAACACCAGUGGCGAAGGCGACUUCCUGGCCUGUUCUUGACGCUGAGGCGCGAAAGCUAGGGGAGCAAACGGG